GCGUGGGUGAAGUAGAUGUUCGGAUCGUAAAACCCUGUUGUUAGAGAAGAAAGUGCAUGAGAGUAACUGUUCACGUUUCGACGGUAUCUAACCAGAAAGCCACGGCUAACUACGUGCCAGCAGCCGCGGUAAUACGUAGGUGACAAGCGUUAUCCGGAUUUAUUGGGCGUAAAGGGAACGCAGGCGGUCUUUUAAGUCUGAUGUGAAAGCCUUCGGCUUAACCGGAGUAGUGCAUUGGAAACUGGGAGACUUGAGUGCAGAAGAGGAGAGUGGAACUCCAUGUGUAGCGGUGAAAUGCGUAGAUAUAUGGAAGAUCCCCCGUGGCGUUGGCGGCUCUCUGGUCUGUUGCUGUCGCUGGGGUUCGUUUGGCGUGGGUGGCCCCCUUAUGGCGGGGCCGGGGUGGUGCGCGCGGUGGGGGGCGCCUUUAAGGAAGUGGAGGGUUUCCGCCCUUCAGUGCUGCAGCUAACGCAAUAAGCAUUCCGCCUGGGGAGUACGACCGCAAGGUUGAAACUCAAAGGAAUUGACGGGGGCCCGCACAAGCGGUGGAGCAUGUGGUUUAAUUCGAAGCAACGCGAAGAACCUUACCAGGUCUUGACAUCUUUUGACAAUCCUAGAGAUAGGACUUUCCCUUCGGGGACAAAAUGACAGGUGGUACAUGGUUGUCGUCAGCCCGUGUCGUGAGAUGUUGGGUUAAGUCCCGCAACGAGCGCAACCCUUAUUGUUAGUUGCCAGCAUUAAGUUGGGCACUCUAGCAAGACUGCCGGUGACAAACCGGAGGAAGGUGGGGAUGACGUCAAAUCAUCAUGCCCCUUAUGACCUGGGCUACACACGUGCUACAAUGGACGGUACAACGAGUCGCAAGACCGCGAGGUUUAGCAAAUCUCUUAAAGCCGUUCUCAGUUCGGAUUGUAGGCCGCAACUCGCCUACAUGAAGUCGGAAUCGCUAGUAAUCGCGGAUCAGCAUGCCGCGGUGAAUACGUUCCCGGGCCUUGUACACACCGCCCGUCACACCAUGAGAGUUUGUAACACCCAAAGCCGGUGGGGUAACC
rnacentral:rRNA from 1 species